rnacentral:rRNA from 1 species
UAUCUCUGUAGAGUCUGCAUAUCAAUAAGCGGAGGAAAAGAAACUAACUAGGAUUCCCUCAGUAACGGCGAGUGAAGCGGGAAGAGCUCAAAUUUGAAAUCUUCAAGGUUCUACCUUGACGAAUUGUAGUUUAAAGAAGUGUUUUCUGUUGGAGUUUUGGCAAAAGUUCUUUGGAAUAGGACAUCAUAGAGGGUGAGAAUCCCGUAUUUGACCAUUAUUUCCAGCUUUGUGAUACACUUUCGAAGAGUCGGAUUGUUUGGGAAUGCAGUCCAAAGUGGGUGGUAAAUUUCAUCUAAAGCUAAAUACUGGCGAGAGACCGAUAGCGAACAAGUACCGUGAGGGAAAGAUGAAAAGAACUUUGAAAAGAGAGUUAAACAGUACGUGAAAUUGUCAAAAGGGAAGCGUUUGACACCAGUGUUGUUUUCUCGAAAAUCAAUUAAAAAAGGCAGGAUUUUGUGUUGUAUUGACUUUAUCAGCUUUCUGCACUCUUUUCUUGUCUUUUUUAAUGCACUUUUCGUUUAACAAGUCAACAUCAAUUUCUUUUGUUGUAAAAGGGUCAUUGGAAGGUGGCUUUCUUUUCGGAGAAAGUGUUUAUAGCCUUUGGCCUCUGCAAUCGGAGAGAUUGAGGUCUGCAGCGUAGAUCCUUCGGGGUUAGACUACAUUUGUGCUAAGUUAUAGCCUUUCAUAGACAACUUGUUGACUAUGAUCAGUCAUGUAGCUUACUCGCUUAUGCUAUUUUACCUACGCUUAGGAUGUUGACGAUCAGCUGAGCGCG